AAAAAAAAAAAGAAAAAAAAUGAAAAAAAAAAGGGAAAGGAAAUAUUGUUCACCUCUACUUGCAUAAGUUAUUUAUAAUUACAUUUUAAAUUAGGAAUUUUAGAUUCUCUUACUCUAUAUGGCAUCCGAAUUUUUAUGUGCCACUUUUACAUUAGCAACAAUGCCUGUUAGUUAAUCUCCCAAGCACGUGCUAUACAAGCAUAUCCUAUUUAUGGAAUUUAAAGACCAUUUCAUUGUUAAGCCACUAAAGCAAUCUGCAAAUGGAGUGAAGCAUUUUUCUAUGCACAUCUCCUUAUGUUGCUCUUCUUAAGAUAUAAAUUAUAGCCAUGCCAGUGAAAGCAAGCUCAACUUCUCUCCUUGGGGUUGUUAGUACUUUGAUUAAGGGCUGCAGAGGCCCAUGCCAUUAAACUGUAAUCUGCAUUAUAUUACACCACAAUGGCACUCAUUAUAUUACACCACCAUUAAACUUCUCUCCUUGGGGUUUUACCUUUGCUAAUAGGAGUGGUGUUACUCAUUCUGUUUUACAUAAAUAAUUUAUAAUGGCUUUGUUUCCGAAGUGCUUAUUGGGCUUUUCCAU
rnacentral:misc_RNA from 1 species